GUAGAGAGGAGCUUCACCAGAGUCUAUAAACAUUUGACAUUUUCCUUCAGGAUUAGGACAUCUCUGAUACAAGAGGACAGCUUCUGAAACAUGUCUGUGAAAAGAAGAAGAGGAGAUAUACUGUAUGGAUGCAGUCAGAGAGGACACGGUUGGAGUGAGGACAGAGGACACAGAGGACAGAGUGAGACGGAGGAGGAUGAUAAAAGAAGAAGAUGCAGCCUGCAGAUUACUCACAGGUCAUCGUGACAAGCUGCUCGCCACAGGACAUGAACGUGACGGAGGCAGACUCCAUGUGCGUUUUGGAGAAAACCUGCUGGCUCUGCUGCUGCCUGCUCGGCUAUGACUCAAUGUUGACACCUGUCACACGGAAAGCAUCAACAAACCCAACAGACUGGAGAAAUGUGAGCAGAUAUGUUAUCGAAAUGUGUGUCUAGACAAGCAGCCAGAGCGCAGCGCGGUGUUAUCGUGCGCCGUUUUUCACCUCCUGCCUGGAGCUGCUCCUGGCAAGCAGGGACUGGAGCCUGCUGAGGUCAUACGAAGCCCUGGAACACAGACUCCACACGUGAUUUA